AGCGAACGCUGGCGGCAGGCCUAACACAUGCAAGUCGAACGUGAAGCCACCUUCGGGUGGUGGAAAGUGGCAGACGGGUGAGUAACGCGUGGGAACGUGCCUUUCGGUUCGGAAUAACCCAGGGAAACUUGGGCUAAUACCGGAUACGCCCUUCGGGGGAAAGAUUUAUCGCCGAAAGAUCGGCCCGCGUCGGAUUAGCUAGUUGGUAGGGUAAUGGCCUACCAAGGCGACGAUCCGUAGCUGGUCUGAGAGGAUGACCAGCCACACUGGGACUGAGCCACGGCCCAGACUCCUACGGGAGGCAGCAGUGGGGAAUAUUGGACAAUGGCCGAAAGCCUGCUCCAGCCAUGCCGACUGGGUGAAGAAGGCCCUGGGGUUGUAAACCCCUUUCAGCGGGGAAGAUAAUGACGGUACCCGCAGAAGAAGCCCCGGCUAACUCCGUGCCAGCCGCCGCCGUAACAC
rnacentral:rRNA from 1 species